rnacentral:RNase_P_RNA from 1 species
GCUGCAGGCUGCUCUAUCGCGGCCCCGCCCCCGGGCGGGGAUGAGGAAAGUCCGGACAACGCAGAGCACCACGCCACCUAACGGGUGGGGCGCCUCUCCGGAGGCGUACAGAAAGUGCCACAGAAAACUAGACUUCCGACGUCUUUGCGGAUACAGGCUGGCUCUGUGCCCGCCCGCCCGAUAGCUAUCGGGCUCCGCGAAGACAGGUAAAGGUGAAAACGUGCGGUAAGAGCGCACGCUCCGCCGUAGCAAUACGGAGGAGGGGUAAACCUCGUGGGUUGAAAUGCCAUGUACACCCCGAUUCUGCCACCAGGUAGCGCCUCCGGGCCUGCAGGGUAGCGGUACUGGGUUGCUCGCUCAGUUCUUCCUUCGGGACGUAUUCGGGGGGGGUAGGCAGAUAGAGCCCGC